UACAGAGGUCUCAAGCGUUGUUCGGAUUCAUUGGGCGUAAAGGGUGCGUAGGCGGCGCGGUAAGUCGGGUGUGAAAUCUCGGGGCUUAACUCCGAAACUGCAUUCGAUACUGCCGUGCUUGAGGACUGGAGAGGAGACUGGAAUUUACGGUGUAGCGGUGAAAUGCGUAGAUAUCGUAAGGAAGACCAGUGGCGAAGGCGGGUCUCUGGACAGUUCCUGACGCUGAGGCACGAAGGUCAGGGGAGCAAAACGGGG
rnacentral:rRNA from 1 species